CGUAGGGUGCGAGCGUUAAUCGGAAUUACUGGGCGUAAAGCGUGCGCAGGCGGUUUUGUAAGACAGAUGUCGGAAAUCCCCGGGCUCAACCUGGGAACUGCCUUUGUGACUGCAUAGCUAGAGUACGGCAGAGGGGGAUGGAAUUCCGACGUGUAGCAGUGAAAUGCGUAGAUAUGCGGAGGAACACCGAUGGCGAAGGCAAUCCCCUGGGCCUGUACUGACGCUCAUGGCACGAAAAGCGUGGGGAGCAAACCAGGAUUAGAUACCCCUGGUAGUCCACGCCCUAAACGAUGUCAACUGGUUGUUGGGUCUUCACUGACUCAGUAACGAAGCUAACGCGUGAAGUUGACCGCCUGGGGAGUACGGCCGCAAGGUUG
rnacentral:rRNA from 1 species